CUGAUGGAGACAUCAGCUGCAGCGCGAAGAACCACGUCAGUCACGCACAGAAGACCAUUAGAGUCCAACCCUGUCAUGUGUGUUCAGUGUCUGUGGUGUUUGUGCUGGUCUGGGGUUUCCAGCUGAUGGUUCUGUUGGGUCUGUUAGGAGGUUUUCACAUCUACAUGAGACACACGUCAGAAAAGAAAGAGGAAGAUCAGAAAGUGAGAAUGAGAAGAUUUAGAGAGUGACAUGAACACACAGCAGAAGAUUCAUGAGAGCAGCAGCAGAUCAUCCCAUCUGUGAGAAAUGACUUCAGAAUCUCAGCGAUUCUCACAUCAGUCCAGCUUU